CCCAGAGGGAUUUUCUAUAGAUAGCCUGGGCGUGUCUCGAGCUCUGUCCCUCUCUGCAGAAGGGGGGGUGGUGGUGGUGGAGUUCUUUUAUGCUUGGGCUGGGCACCGCCUUGUGCAGCAGGGUCUUUGCGAGGACUAAGUGCUGUCAGGAUUGCCAGAUGGAUGCGUCAAGAACCUGCAAAAGGUCCUUCGUACGGUGCCUACGACACGAGGAAUGAAAGCAGGGCUCUGCCCUUUUGCCCCACGAGGCAGGAAGCAGCAACUCCUCAAGUGCAAAAGAUGGGGUGCAGGAGGGUCCCAUUUCUCCUUAUCUUCUGCUACGAUUCUACUUUGUCCAGAGUGUCUGGAGGGGCUUCGUGGUUGAGAUAAACACACUUCCUGCCUAUUAUAGUCUUUAAGGCUUUCUGUCAAGCUCUCCAUUGGAAGCGGAAGUUCUCAAUAUUCUAAUCCUUCUUGCUUAACCAGGAAGCAAUGAAUGAGGAGGAGGAAACAAGAGGUUUGCUGUGUGCAAGACUCAGGACUGAGCUUGGGGGCUGACCUGGAGCAGACACGUAGAAGAGGAAAGUCCUUGUAGAACUGAUUUUAAAAGCCUAAUUUCCGAAGCUGACUUCUCAUUCUGAAGUCACUGGGCGUGCUCGAGUGUGUCCUCUGCGCCGCCCCGACGCGCCUCUGUGGAGCCGACGGAUGCCAUCAACAGUGGGCCCCGAGACUGCGGGCAAGCGACAGGGCCGGCUUCAAGGUUCUGGAUCCAGUGCCUUGCAGUCAUGCAGAGCUGCCCAUAAUGGUUAUUUAUGUGCUUGUUCUAGAGGCCAAGGAAUUUCAAGAUCAUGUGCUGGAAGAUCCAGUGUCUGACGAGAGCUCUCUUCUUGGUUCAUAGAUGGUGUCUUCUUGCUGUGCCCUCACAUGGCCUAGAGCAGAGAGAAACAAGCUCUCUCUUGUCUCUUCUCAUAAAAGCAUCAAUCCCACCAUGAAGGCUCCACCCUCAUGAUCUAGUUAUUGCUCAAACUCCCAUCACCAAAUAGUAUCACCUUGAGGAUUAGGGAUUCAAUAUCACUUUUGGGAGGACAUGCAAUCCAUAAUACCACGGCAAAGAGAAAAGGCAAAAGUGGAGGUGGUCUGGAGGGUCAUGCAUUGGGAAUUGAAUGUUCCAGGCCAGGAUCAUACCCUCAUUGGCCAUAAUUAGUCCUAUGGCUCUAUCCAAUCAUCAGAAAGUCAAGAACUACAACUCUACAAAUGCUGAUGGGGGUGGGAUGGGAGGGGAAGAAUCAGAAUAUUUGGUGGACAACAAUAAUGUCUCCACACUAUGGAAACUUUUUUAUUCAAAUAAAAUAUUAUGCAGGACCUCAACAUGAGAUUUUCAGCUAGAGCUGCUCUGAACAAAACUGGAGGGCUGAGGUCAAAGUUCAUUCCUCACAGACACCUCCUUGGUGGCCUUGACAUGCAUUCAGAGGACCCAGGAUUCCUGGGGACAGUCUGACAACCACUGCUCUAAAGCAUGCACUGCACUGAAUAUCUUCUUUAAAUAGUGUUCUCUAUUUAUUGACAAUUGUUUUACUAGAUUAUUUUAUUUUAAUGGAAAAAAGUAAAAUUGAAUGGAAAAGUACAGCUCUGUGGCAAGCCUCAACCAUUUGAACAGGGUGGUUGUAAACAAAGCAUUAUUUUUACACAUCAUAAAUGCAAACAGAAUGCUUAUGAAAAAAUAAGCAUCUCUAAAAAUAGUCCUGGACUUUACAUCCAGCCUAAUCAAAGGAAGCAGGCACAAACACUGGUUUUGAAAAGUGUACCCAAGCUACAGCAGGGGUGAACCUUGAGGACAUUAUGUUAAAUGACAUCAGCAAGGAACAAAAAGACUCAUACUGUACUGUUCCUUAUUCCACUCUAUGAGGGAUCUGGAGUAGUUGAAUUUGUAGGAACUAAGAGUGGAAUGGUGGUCACUGGGGGCUGGGGGAGGAGCGAAAGGUGAGUUGUUCAGAUCCACAAGAUGAGAACAUUCCAGAAAUUGGUCGCACAAUAGCGUGUAUAUACUUAGCACUAUUGAACUGCACAUUUAAAAAUGGCUAAGAUGGGGGCCCCUGGAU